GGUCACCAUAGAAACACCCACCCGUAGCACGCGCUCCAGCAGGUAUAUCUCACUGGUCACCAUAGAAACACCCACCCGUAGCACACGCUCCAGCAGGUAUAUCUCACUGGUCACCAUAGAAACACCCACCCGUAGCACGCGUUCCAGCAGGUAUAUCUCACUGGUCACCAUAGAAACACCCACCCGUAGCACGCGCUCCAGCAGGUAUAUCUCACUGGUCACCAUAGAAACACCCACCCGUAGCACGCGCUCCAGCAGGUAUAUCUCACUGGUCACCAUAGAAACACCCACCCGUAGCACGCGCUCCAGCAGGUAUAUCUCACUGGUCACCAUAGAAACACCCACCCGUAGCACGCGCUCCAGCAGGUAUAUCUCACUGGUCACCAUAGAAACACCCACCCGUAGCACGCGCUCCAGCAGGUAUAUCUCACUGGUCACCAUAGAAAC